rnacentral:miRNA from 10 species
CUGUGUGUGUGUGUGUGUGUGUGUGUGUGUGUGUGUGUGUGUGUGCGCGCGCACGCAUGCGCUUCUAAGCAGCAAUCCACAAACCCAUAUU